UAACUUGUAUAUAGUUAAACCAUAUAAAAUAUGGAGGAUUUUUUUAAUGUCACCUGUGUACUAACAAACAUCAUUCAUUGUCUCACAAAAUAUUGCAAAUAUAUUCCUUUAAAAAAAACACACACACACACACAAUCCAGGGGCACCUGGGUGACUCAGUCAGUUAAGUGCCAGACGUCGGCUCAGGUUAUGAUCUCACAGUUUGUGGGUUCGAGCCCUGCAUCAGGCUCUGUGCUGACAGCUCAGAGCCUGGAGACUGCUUUGGAUUCUGUGUCUCCCUCCCUCUGUCCCCUUCUCUCUCUCUCUAUCUCUAUCUCUAUCUCUAUCUCUAUCUCUAUCUCUAUCUCUAUCUCAAAAAUAAAUAAACAUUGAAAAAAAAUAAAGGAAUGCCUGCAUGGCUCAGUCAGUUGAGCAUCUGACUUCCACUCAGGUCAUGAUCUCAUGGUUCAUGAAUUCGAACCCCACAUUAGACUCUCUGCUGUCAGCACAGAGGCCUCUUACAUCCUGUCUCCCUCUCUCUCUUCCCCUCACCCCCCUUUCUUAAAAAUAAAUAAACAUUAAAAAACUUAAAAAAAAUUUUUUUGUUACGUUUCUUUAUUUUUGAGAGGCAGAGAGACAGAGCAUGAGUGGGGGAGGGGCAGAGAGAGAGGGAGACAGAAUCAAAGGCAGACUCCAUGCUCCAAGCUGUCAGCACAAAGCCCGAUGUGGAGCUCGAACUCAUGAACCGUGAGAUCAUGACCUGAGCUGAAGUCGGAUGCCUAACCGACUGAGCCACCCAGGCGCCCCCAAAAAUUUUUUCACUUAAUAAAAAUACACAAACUCAACUCUUAGGUCAUAUGUAAACUAUAAUAGGCCCUUAAAGGAUUCAGAAAGAAUAGAAACCAUUUUGGUUUUUUUAGAUCCAGCAUCCAAAGCAUAUCUGUCUGUUUAUUAAUCCUCUUCUUCUGUCCUUACUUCUAUUUGGCUACAUUAAUUCAAUAUACCUUGAUGCACUAAGGGUCAUGAAUGCUUCAUGUUUUAAACACUCUUUUUUGUUGUUGCUAAUACUUGGUGCUUAUUGAUGCUGGGAUUACUAAAGAGGGCACCUGGAAAAUGUACCAUUUAUUGUGAUUUAAUUCUAUAAACAGUCUACGUAAUAAAAAGCAUUAUUCUCCGGGGAGCCUGGGUCGUUCAGUCAGUUAAGUGUCCGACUCUUGAUUUCGGCUCAGGUCAUGAUAUCGAGCCCUGCCCUGGGCUCCGUGCUCGGUGUGGAUCCUGCUUAAGAGUCUCUCAUACUCCCAUGUGCUCAUGGUCUCUCUCUCUCUCUCUCUCUCUCUCUCUCUCUCUCUCUCUCUCUCUCAAAAAAAAAUUUUUUUAAAAAAGCAUUGUUCUCCAUAUUUGAAAAAGCUUCCUGCAAGUCAUGUGUACAAGGAUGUCACAGAAAUACAGGCCUUCUCCCACUGUGGCCUCCAGCCGACUAUAAUUACAUGAGGGUCAUUAAGUCUUUUUUGGAAAGUCAAAGAACAUUAAACAAAGACAAGAUCAUUGGGGACAUCCAGACACCUUUAUAUUUUACAGGUUAAAAAAACUAAGUCCCAUAUCACUAGAGGCAGAAAUAGCAGGAUACUAGAGCAGCUUUCUUGUGAGAAAAUGCUCUUUCCCCUGUACUGUGCUUUUUUUCUAGAGUCUUCUCUAGGUUUUGUGGUGGUGCACUGACAAGAAAGCAAUUAAAUACUAUUGUCUUUGAAAAAUAUUGAACAAUAAAAGUAUGGUUGAUGCUUGAACAACACAGUGUGGGACGGACGUUAGGGGCACCGACCCCCUAUGCAGUUGAAAAUCUGUGUAUAACUUUUCACUCCCCAAAAACUUAAUUACUGAUAGCCUACUGUUGACUGGGAAGCCUUACCAAUAACAUAAACAGUCAAUUAACACAUAUUUUGCAUAUUUGAUGUGCUAUUCAGUGUGUUCUGACAAUAAGCUAUGGAAAAAAUAUUAAGGAAAAAAUCAUAAGGGAAAGAAAAUACAGUACUGUACUAUAUCCCCCCCACCCCGCCAAAAAAAAAAUCCGUAUAUAAAUGAAUCCAUGCAGUUCAAACCUGAGUUGUUCAGGGAUCAACUACAAAGUUUUCCAGUUGUAACUACCUUCAAUGGAAUGGUUUAAUGCCUGUAUUAGUUAGGGUACCAUCUUAGCUUCUGUGACAAAGAGACUCCCUAGAUCAGUGGUUCAAACCAGCUAGAAGCUUUAUUCUUUCUCACGUACCAGUGCAGACAUAGGUGGGUAGAUUUAGUAGGAGGCUGUGCCAUUCUCAACAAUGGCUUCUGUCUCUGGGCCCAAGGCAGCUUUUCCACCUGGCCAUUUCCCAGUUCUUAGGGAGGGAAUAAAGAGCCAGGGAACUGCACAACCACACAUUUACUGGAAGGACCUGGAAAUGGCACUUUUACUUCUGCUUCCAUCGCAUUGGCCAGAACUUAGUUACAGGGGAUUUUGAGCUACACAAGAAACUGACAAGUACAGUCAAUUUGAACAACGAUACACAUAACUAAAAUCGGGAGUUGUAUUCAGAGUCACCACUUUGCACAAUUCCUCCACAAAGAAGUUUUCACAUUGAGUCUAUAAAAAUGGUGCCCAGCGCUGUGUAACAUGGCUAUAAUAUUGUAUAACCAAGAGGAGAAAGAAGAGAAUAAGUAUAGGCAGAUAUCUGCAGCUUGCCAUGGCAUCUAAUGAAUCAGUGCACAAAACAUAACUACAUGCUGUGAAUUUUUACAAAGUGCACAUCCCAUUGAACUACCACCCACAUCAAAAUAUAGAGCAUGAGUGAUACACCAGCAGACUCGCUUAUGUCCCUUUCCAGCCAUUGACCCCCAUUACAAGAAUAAUCAUGAUUCUGACCUCUCUGGCCUCGGUUUUUCAUGCUUUUUAACUUUGUAUAAAAUGGAAUCAUAUCAUAGUACUCUUUGGUGUUUACCUUCAUUCCUUUUGUUGCAUAUGGCAGAACAUGGUUUGUUCUUUUUCUUUGCCCUUUGGUAUUCCACUGUGCAUUUGUACCAAAAUAAGUUUAUCUGUUGUAUUACUGAUGGACAUUUGAUUUGUUCCUAGUUUGGGGCUUUAACAAGUAAUGCUGUUGACAACGCUCUUGUACCUGUAUUUUGUUGAACAUAUGGAGACUUUUUUCUUGUGUAAUACAUACAAGUACAAUUGCUAGCUCAUAGUUUCUGCACAUAUUUAGCUUUAGGAGAUACUGCCAAGCAGUUUUUCAAAGAGAUUGCAUGAUUUGCCUCCAUUAGUAUUGUAUGAGAAUUACCGUUAUUCCAGAUCCUUGCCAGCCCUUGGUGUUGCCAUUUAAAAAAAAUUUUUUUAGCUGUUCUAUGUGGGUGUGUCGUGGUAUCUCCUAUGGUUUUAAGUCAAAUUUUCUGUUGCCAAAGGCUUGAGUACCUUUUCAAAUGUUUACUAUCGAUUUUUGUGAAGUGCCUGUUCAGGUCCUCUGCCAUGAUUCUCAGCCUCUUACCAGAGGGGAAAUGUGGCUCUCAGAAUAUCUCAGCAUCAAUUUGUGGUUCCUUUAUCUCUUGGAUCUUGGCCCCUUACAUCCUGGUUGCCCCCAUAGCUCUCCAAAACCUUCACACAGUUGUUUUUUUAAUCCAUAUUUUCAAGCUGUUCUUUUGAAGCUUUGGUCUAACUACAAGCUACUGUAUCAUAGGAGGAGGCAGAAAUCCUCCUGCUGAAUUCUUCUGGAUAAUAAUCUGUUCUUUAAAACCAAGUAAAUAGAUUCUUCUAAUUUGCAGUCACAUUUAAAGACCAUAAUGGAAGUGGAAACAUUUUUUAAGUUGCUGAUAUUAAGUAUUUCCAUUUUCUCAGUGUUUGGUUGGAUAAUGUAUCUUCUGUUCAGUACUCCAUGUGAAUAGCUACUUCAGCGUGCUGACCUUAGGGCUCUUGCCUUGUUCCUGAAGUAGACUGUGACCAUUCCCACAUUGAUGUCAUGGCUCCUAAAAGGGAAGCUUUGUAAUUUUGAAAUACCUACAGUCCCUUUGUAAAAGCUGUAUGCUGAGACCCUUUGAUAGUUUUUAACAGAAACAUUUUUUUUUAAGUUUACACAAAAAGAAUAACAAAUCCUAGAGAAAAGUAUUUCCAGAGUAAGUUUCUUAAAGAAAUACAACCUGGAAAUUCUUUUGUUUAAUUGCCUUACAUUUUUUCCCAAAGCAAUGUCUCAAAUCAGUUAAUUCAAAAAUCCAAAUGCAUCCUGUAUUCCAUUUGGGUUGUUAAUUCUUUUUCAAAUGUAAUUGUCAACACUUAUAUGUAGUAGUGAAUCCCAGAACAGAGUAGUAAGUAACUGAUACCUGCUUCCAUUCCCUAGUCAGGACUAUCCAUACCUGUGGGCCUGCAGGUUUGAUCAUCCUGCCCAGCCGGCUUAUGGUGCUGUUUAGGAAUUAUUUCAAGAGUUAGACACUGUGCGUGAAGAACUAGAUUUAACCAGAAAUUAUAGAAGGAAAAGACUGAGACUCUGAACAACUUAUUUGUUCUUCUCAAAAGGUUUCAAAACAUUGAAUGUCUUUCCACUGUUGACUUAUAUGGUGAACCUUUACUGGAAUGCAGUCCGUUUACUUGGCUUUAGCAAAUGUUGUGGAGUAUCUGUUUACAUGUUUAAUCUGUGCUAUCUGUGGAAGACACAAAAGCAAAGAUAAUCUUUGCCUCAGACAAUUUACAGUGUAGCUGAAGAAAAAGACAUGUACAAAAAUAAGGACAGCAUAGCUUCCAGCUUUAACAUGAGAGUGGUGGAGGACAGAGACUGUGGCCUGGUACAGUCUUAAGAUUAAGUCCCAGCGUGCAAAAUGCUAUUGACAGCACAAGAGAGCUUUAGUAAAGGUGUAUGCUGAGAAUUUUGGUUUUGUAAUCACUGUAUUACUUCAUAAUACACAAGGUUAGGAAAAUGUCAGCUCAGUAGAGCAGUGAAACUAGGAACUUAGCAGUCAGGUAACCCAUUCAUCCUGUCCCUGAGGAAAAAAUAUACUCUGCACAGAUGUACAGAUGCAGAGGGAGUGCGUGCAGCUCAAGGCAAACCACAGAUCUUGCCUGUUGACAGAUACUGACUACAGAACAAUCUCACCCUGAUUUAGGACAUGAGGGAAGAGGAAAAACCAACAUUGUGUUUAUGAGAAAAUACUGCAGGACCCUGACAGGAAAUAGCAUCUCAAAGACAUUAUGGACAGUAUAUCAAUACAAUUAAUGAACUGCGGGAUUCAGAAGAAAAUUGUAGAAACUUGUUACCUUCAGUAGAAGGCAGUGAGAUAUGGACCAAACAAACCAGUAGAAGAGGCAACAAAGUAAGAGUAAAAGAAAAGAGGAUGGGAGGGAAAAGAAGGGAAGUGGGAAAUCAGAGUCGGGUCUGAAAAGCCUGGGGGUGAGGUGAAAUACUAGCUUCUGUGGAGCAGAUGGCGGGCAGGGAAAUUUACUCAGAGAAACUUCUGUCCAAGCAUUCACCUGGAGAACUUGGGGGAGUUAGCCAGGGGAACAGUAGAGGGGAAGCGAGCAUUCUAGGCAGUGGGCCAGUGCAAAGUCCAAGAAGAAAGAGGGACCUGCAUUUAGGUCAUGGGAAAGGUUGCAUGGCUGGACCGUGGAGAGGUGAGCGAGGGACAGGGAGGGACAGUGCAUUCAGGUACGUUGGUGGGAAAGAAAAUGGUCAAAAUAGCAUAUUGGUACAACAAGUCAGAAAUGAAUGUUUCCAGUCACCAGUUCAUGCAGAUUUAAUUGUAUGGGAUUCAUUUAAAAUGGAUUUUUAGACUGUUUGGUCAGUUUCCAGCGUUCAGUUAUUUUUAAAAAUCCAGUUACAACCACCAAUGCCUACUUUGCCUAUAUAGCUGUGUUCUUUUUUUUUUUUUUUUUUUUUUUAGUUUAUUUAUUUACUUGGGGCAGGGGGGAGCAGCAGAGGGGCAAAGAGAGAAGGAGAAAGAGAGAAUCCUAAGCAGGCUCCGCCCUGUCAGUGCAGAGCCUGACACAGGGCUCGAACUCAUGAACUGUGAGAUCAUGACCUGAGCUGAAACCAAGAGUUGGGCGCUUAACUGACUAAGCCACCCAGGCGCCCCUAUUUAACUGUAUUGUGUUUUUCUUUUAUAUUAAACUGCACUUCCUUGACACUGUGUGAUCCAACUUGGCUAUCAUGAUUGAAGCUAUUGCAUGGAGUGUGCCCUAUUCUUUGCAGGUACAUAACCUGACAUUGAGGCUUCAUUCUUGCACAAAAAUGAUUCAUGGAAUUAGAGAUGAUGAGUAAAAUGCCUUCUGCAGAAGGUUAUGAUAUGACAGAAGGUUCUGCAACCACUGAUAAUAAUCAGGGGUGCUGUUCAUUGCAUUAAGAUGCUGGGGUAUUGUGCUUGUUCCUGCCAUCUCAGUACCUGUCAGAGCUCAUAGAGGCCUGGCCCCUGGGGGACCUCAUCAUUCCUGGAGUAGGUUUUUGUCCUCCUGGCUGGGAGCAGUACAAUGGCCAGUGGCAUCAGGCUGUUGGUUUACACUCACUUCACUCAUCAAUACUUCCUCCAAACCCAAAACUUUAGGAGUAGAUGUCAAACAAGCAAACUCAGCUAACAAUGAAAUAGAGAUAAAAAGAAGGAACUUUAAAAAGUCUGACAAAUGGCCCAAAAGUCUUAAAGAU